rnacentral:rRNA from 1 species
GACGAACGCUGGCGGCGUGCUUAACACAUGCAAGUCGAACGGAAAGGCCCUGCUUUUGUGGGGUGCUCGAUUGGCGAAGGGGGGAGUAACACGCGAGUAACCUGCCCUUGACUUUGGGAUAACUUUAGGAAACUGGGGCUAAUACCGGAUAGGAGCUCCUGCUGCAUGGUGGGGGUUGGAAAGUUUCGGCGGUUGGGGAUGGACUCGCGGCUUAUCAGCUUGUUGGUGGGGUAGUGGCUUACCAAGGUUUUGACGGGUAGCCGGCAUGAGAGGGUGACCGGCCACAUUGGGACUGAGAUACGGCCCAGACUCCUACGGGAGGCAGCAGUGGGGAAUAUUGCGCAAUGGGCGGAAGCCUGAUGCAGCGACGCCGCGUGCGGGAUGACGGCCUUCGGGUUGUAAACCGCUUUCGCCUGUGACGAAGCGUGAGUGACGGUAAUGGGUAAAGAAGCACCGGCUAACUACGUG